UGUGUGGAGGGUACUGAGGUCCACACUGUGUGUGUGGCGGUCUCUUGACCUGUGUAGGAGGCGUUUUGAAAAAAACCAACCAACCCAAGUUUGGCAAGCCUGUUCAGGAACAGACCGCGACUCCAGCCACCUCUGAGACUUCUCCAUCUCAUCGCCUACCUCAAUGUGAGAGCCCACAUGAAGGUCAGCGUCAGCGACUUCACACUCCACUGGCACUCCUCGAGCACCCACAGCACGCCCAGCACAGAGUGACAGAAGCUCCCUUGGGACAGCCCUCAUGGGCGCCACUGCAGUGAUGCUGGGGCUGUCACCUGGCAGGAGAAAGUUCAGGGCUCUUUCUGGGAUGCCAUAUGGCCCCUUUUCCAGAAUCUACCUUUUCCACUGUACUUGUUUUCCAGAGACUGGCCUCCUGGUGCUGCUCCUGUCUUUGGGAUUUCUCCAAAAGCAGCUACUAAACCUCCAGCACCCCCAAGCUUUUUCCCUUUUUGGGAGGCGACUGGGUCUGAAUGGUUCUGCUAACUAGAGGGGCCGUUCUGCCUUGACCUGAGCAGUGGGAGUGUUUGCCUCCUGGACACACACACACACACACACACACUGGCUUAGCGGUCGCCGUGGGUGAAGUCCCUCUGCUGAGCAUUACUGUGCCCUUAUCACGACUGCGGUGGUCACAGCAGUCAGAGUGCUUAAGGGAAGCUUCUUCACCUGCCAGGAGAGAGCAGGUGCCGGGAAAGCAGCUCCACCUCUUCCCCGCACCAGCCCGGUUCCUGAGCCCGUAAAAGAAGGGGCCUCUAGCACUGAUUUUCCCCGGAGGCUCAGGGCCCCCUAGGGCUCCCCUCUGCAGACAAGAGGGGCUGGCUGCCAUCAUUUCCGGGCUCCUGCCACUGUGCCUGGAGGACUGCCUGUGACCGUGCCCGCCGCCUUUCCUACUCUUGGAGGGCAAGGGUGGUCUCUGUGUCGGCCCCCAGUGCCCUUUCCUGGGGACUGUGUCUAGCAUUUGGGUGGCAGAGAGAGGCCAAGUGCCCUUCUCAGCAGCGCCCUGGCACCCAGGCUCAGGCCAUAGGCAGGGGGCCAAGGUGGGUGAUGAAGUUCCCUGGGGCCACCAGGCUUGCCCAGAAAGCAAGGAGUGGGUUAUGUCACCACCUAUUGCCGGAUCUGCUCAGCAAAGGUCAGCCUACCCUGAGUCUAUCACUGAUGGACAUUUGGGUUGGUUCCAAGUCUUUGCUAUUGUGAAUAGUGCUGUAAUAAACAUACGUGUGCAUGUGCCUUUA